AAUUAAUUCAAUUCUAUAUAAAAGGAGAUACAGUAGAAUUGAAAUAGCUACCAGUUAACCAGUUUCAAUCAAAUAACUACUUUAAUUUCUGUAUCAAGCCUCCUGGGUAUUAUUGUUUCCUAAGCAUCAUUGAGGGGGCACUUGUUCUUAAUAUAUGCAAUAAGUCUGGUUACCAUUAAAAAAUGUCCAUAUUCAGAGUUACCAUUGUACUAUAUUUUAUUAAAAUACUGCAGAAAUGCAAUAUAUAUCAUGAUUUUAAGAAUUAAUUGAGGGCUGCAUGGUUAAAAGAGGAGGGGCUGGCCGAGGGGGGCUUAUUUUUUAUUUUUGUAUGCAAAUGAGGGGGGGGGCUUAUUUAUUUUAUAUUUUUGUAUCCAAAUGAGGGGGGGGGGGUUAUUGGAGAGGGGCUUGAAGAGAAGGGAGCUAAAUUUAGAAAUUACAGUACCUCCAUUCCUUACUCUUCCUUCCCAAACAUGCUGCAGGAGAGGGGCAACUGCAUGGGUUAAAGCAUGGAUUGCAAGGUUGAUAUAUUGCAUGUUAUGUACCUGGUAAUAUGGAGAAAUGAGCUAGUAAAUAUAUCCUUUCCUAUAAUUAGUUGCUGAUUAAAUGUCCAAAGAUACACAGUGUGAAGCAUGAAAAGCAAAUGGAAGAUACCCACUGCAAGAAUUUUUCAACAAAUAUAUAUGGAUUUGUUCACUUCAUUUAUUACUUUUGACACAAGUAAUUAUAGUAAUUAUAAUUACAAACACAAUGUACUGUCAUUUAAAGACUUUUUAUGUGGUCCAUGUAUAUAUGUUAAUGUAAUAUAAUAUAAAAAAUAAUGUGUUUAUUGUUAAAAUAUGUGAUAUAUAAUACCGUAAACCUCUGACUAUAAGCCCUGGGCUUAUAUUCUUUUGAAGCGAUUUUUCAUGGGCUUAGGGGGGGGGGCUUAUAUGCAUGGGGGCCUUAUACAUGGACAAUCAAUUGUGUUAGUAAUAAACAAGUCAGUCACUCAUAAACAGGAAAAUAAACAUGUGUAAAAAAUAACACACUCCAUUAACAUAGUAAGCUAUAAAGACAAUGACAGUGUUUCAAAUAUCAUUCUCUGCUAUAUUUAAAGACAAUGUCAAUGUUAAAUAACAUAGUGGGAUACCGGGCUGAUAUUCAGGGGGCUAAUAUUCAGGGGACUUAUAUUCAGGGGGGCUUAUAUUUGGAAUGAGGUGAGCAUUAUAUUCAGAGGUUUACAGUAUACAGUUGAACAAAGCUUGUAUUUUCUUGUCAUAGACACAUAUUUCUGGGUGCAUAUAGAACAGCUUAAACGUCAGGUUCUCAUGUCGAUCCAAUGGUAAUUUGAUAUCGCUGCCAUCACCAUAAUAUAGUGUAGCACAGAAUGGCCUUGUACGUAUCAUACUUUGACAUACUAUCAUGCAUGCAGAAAUACUUUGGUCAUUCAUGUGGAGAUAUUACUAUCACGAUAGAAUUAGUUACGCCAAGUAACAUGUCGUACACGUCAGGUAGCAGCUGAAAUAUUUUAAUAUUUGCCAUAAUAUGCCCAUAACCUGUUGGCAAAACAACCAAA
rnacentral:lncRNA from 1 species